UACAUAGGGUGCGAGCGUUGUCCGGAAUUAUUGGGCGUAAAGAGCUUGUAGGCGGUUUGUCGCGUCUGCUGUGAAAUCUCAAGGCUCAACCUUGAGCUUGCAGUGGGUACGGGCAGACUAGAGUGUGGUAGGGGAGACUGGAAUUCCUGGUGUAGCGGUGAAAUGCGCAGAUAUCAGGAGGAACACCGAUGGCGAAGGCAGGUCUCUGGGCCACUACUGACGCUGAGAAGCGAAAGCAUGGGGAGCGAACAGG
rnacentral:rRNA from 1 species